AAAAAAAAACAUUUCAUUCUAAAAACAAAUGAUAAAGUAUGAAUUAACGAACGAAUAUUCACACACUACGAGAUAUCUCGUAGUUGGCAAGUCAAUGGGUUAAAGAAUUCAGAAUGUCGAUAAGUUGGCUGACUACUGGCUGAUAAGUUAUCUAUCAAGUAAAUCUUAGAAAAUGUGACACGUGCAGCCCUUGCCACGUGCCGUGCUCCAGCCGAUCUAAAUCUAAUAACGCAAACAGCCUUACAAUAACGUACAUCAUACACGGCAUCGUUUGGUGGCCGGAGGUAACAGGACACCAUGUGAACUAAUCGUUUCGAAGUGGUCUUGGAGAUCCUGUUUCGCUAUUUGUUAAAUCGAAUGCGAGUUCUCUUGGGACUGAAUUGGUCGUCCACCAUGCGCUUUCAACGAUCAACUACCAUCCUUAUUGCUUUUUCACGAUAUCGAUUAUUAUCACGUUAACUAGACUAAAUGUGAACUUUUAUAAUAGUUGUUUGUUGCUUUUAUUGUUGUAGAAAUUCGUAAUUUGAGAUGUGUAUUGAGAGAUAAAAAGUUAUUUUUUUUUUUUAUUUAUUUAUUUCAAAAUUAACACAUAGUAACAAAAAGUCUAAGAAAAAAGCCAGUUUUAAUAUUUCUAUCAUUUUAUUUAAUAAUAUACUUAACAAUGUUAUGAUCGGCAUAACUAUUUCAUUAGUUAAUUCAUGUUUUGCAAGUGUAACGCAAAAUCAAACAAGGGUGACGUACGAAUAACAAAGUUCUUAAAUUCUUAAACGCAUACUUACUAGCAAUCUUGCCAAGAAUAAGGUAGAUCCACGACUGUAAGUGAGAUAUUGAAUUGUUAAUCGAUAAUUGAUAAGUUUAAUUUAUACGUAUUGUGCAUAUAUAUAUGUACACACGUAUAAUUGUAGAAAGAGAAAG